CUUUACGGUGGGCCGUGUGGGGACACCCGCGAGGGUGUGCCGGUCCUACUGCCGGUCGACCAACCCUGCACGGUCCACCACCU
rnacentral:antisense_RNA from 15 species